rnacentral:rRNA from 1 species
AAGAUCCCUUAUAUAAUAAAGAAACAAAAGUUUCGUUUUAAGAAGUUUAAGUUUUACAUCUCGCAUGACGGUAUUAGCUAANGUAAAACUUAUCUAGCUUUAAGUGCGUANUCNAAACUGGAAGGUUGAUCGACCACAAUGGGCCUGAUAAAAGCCCAUGAUGAAUGUUACAGCAGUGAGGANUAUUGGUCAAUAGCCUAACGGCUGAACCANCNACUUGGGGGAAUCGAUAGCAAUUGCUAUUAGCACUAAAAAUUUUAGUGUAAAAUCGACUUGGAAAAAAAUUCAGGGCAGAAUUAUGAUAAUGACAUUAUCUGUCCAACAGGCUUGACCAAAUCACGUGCCAGCAGUCGCGGUAAUACGUUAAAGACAAGUGUUAUUCAUCUUUAUUGGGUUUAAAGGGUACUUAGNCAGCGAAUCAAGCCUCNUGAGUAANGAAUGUACUAGUUUGCUAGAGUUUUAUGGGGAAGAGUAUUAAAGUACUACUGGUGGAGAGAUGAAAUUCUGUCAUACCUUANAUGGCACAGAUUAUGGUGAAGGCAUCUUUUUAUGUAANAACUGACGUUGAAGGACGAAGGCUUUGUGUCUCAAAGAGGAUUAGUUACCCUAGUAGUCUAAGCAGAAAAUGAUGAAUGUCAUAGAUUAGAUUUAAUUUUAUCUAUAAAUGAAAGUGUAAGCAUUCCACCUCAAGAGUAAUUUGGCAACAUUGGAACUGAAAUCAUUAGNCCGUUUCCGAAACCAGUAGCCGAUGUAUGUUGUUUAAUUUGAUAACCCGCAAAAAACCUUACCACAUACCUGAAUAGAUAUUUUAUAUCAUAGCAGGCGUUGCACGGCUGUUUUUAGUUAAUGUCGUAAGAUUUUGGUUCG